UAGACACUGUAAUGGUUUUUACAUAAAAAUUUAAUUCCUAGUCGUUAUUAAUAAACAUUUCCCAGGCUGUCUAGUAAGUCAGGAGAAAGUUAUCUUUAUCUGAGCUUCAUUUAAGGUAUAUGAAAUGGAGUUUUAGGUUUAAAAUUAGGCAGGACAGAGGCACUUGAAGCAGCAGUCAAUUAAACAUACACACUUUCUUCAGGGAACGAAGACUUGUGACCAUUUAUUUUUUUAAGAAAACUCCUUAAAAUUUGGUUGCCUUUUUAGAAUCAUGGUAGGUUCAUAGAAUGUUAAGGUACCUUACAGAUCAUCUAGUCCUAGUGCCCCCUGCCAGGAGCAGGGACACCUCCCACUAGACCAGGCUGCUCAUGGCCUUAUCCACCCUGGUUUGAACACUGCCAGGGUUGGAGCAUCCACAACCUCUCUGGGCAGCCUUUCCCAGUGCCUCAGGACCCUCUCAAUAAAGAAUUUCUUCCUAAUAGCAAAAUUAUUAAUAUAAAUUUUUGUGAAAUGUUCCUAUAUAACUAAAUUUUCCCUUUUUCAGUUUGUACACAUUACUCUUUGUCUUAUCACUACAGUUCCUGGAGAAAAGUCCUUUUCUGGCUUCCACUUCAGAUACUGGGAGGUUGCUAUGAGGUCUCUGUGCAACCUUCUGUUCUCCAGCCUGAACAAUCCUAAUUUUCUCAGCCUGUCACUGAAAGGUCUGAACUGUGUUUGAAAUUGUUUGAAAUACUGUAUUCUAUACAAAUGUCCUUAGGCUGAAGUUUUGUGGGAAAAGAGGCUGUUCUUUUGCUCUGGUGAACUUGCAGUUCUGAAUAAGAAGUGUGGGGAAGCAAAAAUGCUGUUUGGAGUUAAAAAAACUUAUUUUUUAAAAUAUUUCUUCAGUUUGGUUUUUUUCCCCUGUGAAAUAUACCUUUAAAAUUAUUAUUGAAAGAAAUAAAAAUUUAGGACAGUUUGAACUGAAAAUGAAUAUGCUUGUUUUGAAAAUAAUAAGUUUUACUUUUCAACUUAAUUUGUAAGAUUAUGAGAGAGAUGUCCUGUAAGACAAUAAUCUGAGUAUUGUCAUGCCUUGCAGAAUAAGGUAAAAAAUCAAAAGGAAAUUUUUAAGAACUAUGGGGUAGGUUUUUUUGUUUUUCUCCAUUGAUUUGGGUCUAAGUGAUUUGGAAAACACAUUUGCUUUGAAUUUUAGCAAAUGCCAUAUGUCUCUGUUGAGAAGAUGUAUUUCUAAGGAUUAAAUUCCAAGUAUUUACAUAGCUGUGUCUGUAUUGUCUUAAAAUAGCUAGAAAGCUUCAAGUAUAUCUAACAGAUACUAUAUUUGCUUAUUAUCUAAUUUAUAUAUCUAAUAUAUACUUAACAGUGCCUCUGAAGAGCUAACUAGGCUGAAGUGGCAUAGGAAUUUUGAUCUCUAAAUGUAAGUUGUCACUACAAUUUGCACCUUUUCUGUGCUGUUCAACUUCUGCCUUCCUCCACAUACUCAUUCUUCUCUUUACCUCAGACAAAGAGAAAAAUAAUCCUACAAAAAUAGUAAAAAGUUUGUGCUUUUCUUCAUUCCAGUUCAAGAAAGAUACAAUAAAAUAUAUGGUCAUGAGGUGGUGGGAAGUCAGGAAUAGCCUUUUUGGCAGAAGAACAAUCUUGAAUUGUCUUACAUGGGUUACAAAACUGCACUUAUCUAUCAGUGGUUGAAUUCUGCCUCUCUUUUUAGAGUCUUUGGAAAUCUUCCCAAUGUUUUAGUACAAUGUACUGUCUCAGGUGUUGACUUUGCCUGGAGUUAGACAUCUAACUGUCUGUUGUGGCCUUGAAAAUAGUUCGUUUUUAUUUUAGCAUAAACUUAAAACAAACUCUGUAGAAAACUCCAGGAUGCAGGGGUGCUCUUUGUCAAGAUGACACAGUUUAUACGUACUUUAUGAGACUCCUGUUUCCAAGAGCAAUUAGGAUGUUCUGAGUUACAUCAACCUGUGUUUGCAUUUGGAUAUUUUCAUUCACAGAUUUAUUUUAGGAUUGUACACUGCAUUACAAAAUAUAAUUUGCCUUACUCCGUGUAAUUAAAAUUCAUUUGAUGAAUAUACAGUCUUAGCAACCAAAGUUUUUAAAGUUGUCUUUUGGAUUUUGACCCCAUGGGAAAUAUUCAUGCAGUCUAAUGUAGUUGUUCUGAAUAACAUCCUUGUUAAAAACCUAAGGUAGGCAUAAGUUAGGUGUUUACACUAAACAGGGGGACAGAGGCAUUUCCAGAAUAUAAUUCACAGAAGUUAGAUGAAUGAAAACACUUUGUGUAAAGAUUUCCUCACCAUUUAGCAUAACUAUUCACUUUGAAUGCUUGCAUUUCUGGGUCAAUUUGGAAGAAAACAUAGCCAAAGUCUUAUUAUGUUCAGAGGCGUAGCAGUGCAAGCCUACCUUAUAUUUCUCUGCCUGUGCUUUCAUCUAGGGAAGGUAUUGUAUUACCAGGUUUUCACACAUAUAUUGCUGUGCCUCUGGAAUUCAGUCCCUUGGGUAAAAUUAUGAUGGAGCUGAAAUGCCUCGCUCAUGUAAUGCUCUGGCACUGCCUAUAGCCUAAUGUGGGAAUAGUUUUAGGAUUCAAAUUCUGGCUGAACCACUGCUCAGGAAGGUCAUGUAGCUGUUGGUAACACUGGAACUGAAAGAAUGGUCCUUCCCAGAAGAUUUUUUUUCCUCCCGUCCUUGGGCAGCAGCAGUGGAUUUUAUGGACACAUGGGACAGUUCUGUCAGUUUUAAAUUAUAUCCUGAUCUCUCCCCCAGCCGCAUGCAAAGUACAGAAGUUCUGUGGAAGGAGGAGAAUGGACUCUAUAUUGAAUUCUGAACUGAAGGCAAAGCAGCAUUACUUUUCAGAUCCAUUUCUACUUCAAAGAGGGUAGCAAGAAAAUUUAAAGAACCUUGUAAAACUUCUCUGGGAAGAGAAAAAAGUCUCCCAGGCACUUGUGAACGUCAGAGUACCUGGAAGAGUAGGGAGAAGGAUUUACAUGGCUCUGGAAGGAUCAUCUGUAAGCCUGGAGAGAGCUGACUCCAGAUGGGAGAACUGAACAAAGACCCAGACCUGAAUUUCUGCUGUUUUGCUGUCAAAAGAGCACUUCACCUGUCCUUGCACAAAACACAGGGCGAUCAGACAGAAGCAAGAGCCACAGUUGUGCCAAAGUCAUUAUUCCCAGCAGUGGAUUCCUUGGUAAGCACUUGGAAAUAGUUGGCUGGUGGUUGGUGCCAGAGGUCUGGCAAAUGUAAGGAGCUUUUUAAUUAAAUGUACCAAAAGCAGUAUUUCUAAACUGCAGCAUUGGUACAAUAAAACAAGUAGAUACCAAAUGCUUCUCUUGAAUUAGGAGAAGCAUUAGUUCUUGGUUAUCUUUGUUCGUCUACUCAUUCCUUUAAAAAAUACAGAGCACAUCAGCUGCCUGCACUACAUCAGUCCCACCAAAACAAUCUGCAUUAGCUGAAAUAGUUUUGCAAAGGUGUGAAAGUAGGGGAGGUGCUUAAAAAUCCCACAGCUUUAUUGUGUUUCUGAUUUGCAAACGUCUUUCAACUUUCACACUUCUCUCUUUUCCCCUGCUCAUUACAUGAUAUAAGAGGUGCAUUUAGAAGGUUUAUUAGUUUAUUAGAGUAAGUUGCAGGCCCCACAGUAAGUAAAUCAAUAGGUUAAAUCCUCUGACUACUGGAUAGACGACUUGGGGAAUAAUUUACCUA